rnacentral:lncRNA from 1 species
UAAAAUAAAAUAAAAGUAAGAAAAAAUAUUAUAAGGGCAAAAAAAUAAAAUAAUAAACAAGAAAGAAAAUAAAAUAAAUUAAAAAAAAAAGAUGGGUGUGUAAAAGAAAAAAGAGGAGCCCAAAUAGAAAAACUCCUUCAGGGCCACAAGCGCUGAGCCCAAGUUGAAGGAGGUUUGGUCAAUGGUCAAUGUUGGACCAUCAAUGGAUCAGAUCUAUUGGAUCUAAAUAUAGAGGUCCAAACACGCUGACCAUGUGACUCAUCAGGACCACCAGAUCAACAUGCUAAAAAAAGUAAGAUAA